CCUCGGUGAUGAUCAAAUAACGAUGACGAGUCUGAUGAAAUUUCCAUUCAUUAAAAUACUGAUGACAAAACGAGGCAUUUGUCUGAGAGGAUCCCACCCUUAUUAUUUUCAUCUUUACUCUUUUUAUUAUUGUUAGUGUUUUUUAUCUUUGAAAGUUUUCCUCACUAUUACUUUGCAUGGUGAAGAAUCUUGAUUUUUUUCAUAUGUUUAGUCAUGUGAUGAAAUACAAUCCUCCUACUCAUUCUGA
rnacentral:sRNA from 1 species